rnacentral:rRNA from 1 species
AUCUACCUUCAGGACGGGGACAACAGCUGGAAACGGCUGCUAAUACCCGAUAUGCCGAAAGGUGAAACGUUGUUUCGCCUGGAGAGGAGCUCGCGUCCGAUUAGCUAGUUGGUGGGGUAAAAGCUUACCAAGGCGACGAUCGGUAGCUGGUCUGAGAGGAUGAGCAGCCACACUGGAACUGAGACACGGUCCAGACUCCUACGGGAGGCAGCAGUGGGGAAUUUUCCGCAAUGGGCGAAAGCCUGACGGAGCAACGCCGCGUGGGGGAAGAAGGUUUUUGGAUUGUAAACCCCUUUUCUCAAGGAAGAACAAAAUGACGGUACUUGAGGAAUCAGCCUCGGCUAACUCCGUGCCAGCAGCCGCGGUAAUACGGAGGAGGCAAGCGUUAUCCGGAAUUAUUGGGCGUAAAGCGUUCGUAGGCGGCUGUUCAAGUCUGCUGUCAAAGACCGAGGCUCAACCUCGGGUCGGCAGUGGAAACUGGAUAGCUAGAGGUCGGUAGGGGCAGAGGGAAUUCCCAGUGUAGCGGUGAAAUGCGUAGAUAUUGGGAAGAACACCGGUGGCGAAAGCGCUCUGCUGGGCCGAACCUGACGCUGAGGGACGAAAGCUAGGGGAGCGAAUGGGAUUAA